rnacentral:rRNA from 1 species
GCUGAAUCCUAGUAGAAUGUCUUGCUGCAGACAUAAGAGUGACAGUAGGUGCAGGCUACAGCAAGUUUACCAUCAUUUCAAUCAUUUCAUUUUUGAAGAACCAUGCUGAAAGCCCGAAAUACAUUGUGCACACUGAAAAUUACCAAGGUCUCGUUGUCUCUCACUCAAAGCUUGAAGCAAGUUCCUCAACUAUUUCAAAAGGCCCAAACAUUCUUCAGAUUUGCUGACCUUUCUAGUGGCUGUCAACUUUUGGCUUUCAAACUCAAAAUAGGUGUACAAAGAUGCAUCCAUCUCUAUCUCUCAUACUUAAAAUACGUGUGCAGGUUCAGCACCUUUGAAGCCAACCUCUUC